GAGCGGCCCGCGUACGAUUAGCUAGUUGGUGAGGUAAAAGCUCACCAAGGCGACGAUCGUUAGCUGGUCUGAGAGGACGACCAGCCACACUGGGACUGAGACACGGCCCAGACUCCUACGGGAGGCAGCAGUGGGGAAUCUUGGACAAUGGGGGAAACCCUGAUCCAGCCAUGCCGCGUGAGUGAUGAAGGCCCUAGGGUUGUAAAACUCUUUCGGCGGGGACGAUAAUGACGGUACCCGCAGAAGAAGCUCCGGCUAACUUCGUGCCAGCAGCCGCGGUAAUACGAAGGGGGCUAGCGUUGUUCGGAAUUACUGGGCGUAAAGCGCGCGCAGGCGGUCCUUCAAGUCAGAGGUGAAAGCCCAGAGCUCAACUCUGGAAUGGCCUUUGAGACUAGAGGACUUGGGUACGGGAGAGGUGAGUGGAAUUCCGAGUGUAGAGGUGAAAUUCGUAGAUAUUCGGAAG
rnacentral:rRNA from 1 species